UCCGAAGUUUCCCUCAUGAUAGUUGGAGCCCGCGGACGAGUUCUAUCAGGUAAAGCCAAUGAUUAGAGGCAUCGGGAGCGCAACGCCCUUGACUUAUUCUCAAACUUUAAAUAGGUAGGGCGGCGCGGCUACUUCGUUGAGCCGUGCCACAAAAUUGAGAGCUCCAAGUGGGCCAUUUUUGGUAUGCAGAACUGGCGAUGCGGGAUGAACCGGAUGUUGGAUUACGGUGCCCAACUGCACGCUAACCUAGAACCCACAAAGGGUGUUGGUUGAUUAAGACAGCAAGAGAGUGGUCAUAGAAGUCAAAAUCCGUUAAGGAGUUUGUAACAACUCACCUGCCGAAUCAUCUAACCCCACAAAUGGAUGGUAGAUUAUAUAUAUUCUAUUUUUUUCCCAGCUUAGUUUUGCCUACAGCAUAAUGUAAAUCCAACAAUAAUUAGGA
rnacentral:ncRNA from 1 species